UACGGGGGGGAGCAAGCGUUGUUCGGAUUUACUGGGCGUAAAGGGCGCGUAGGCGGCCACCGCAAGUCGACUGUGAAAUCUCCGGGCUUAACCCGGAAAGGUCAGCCGAUACUGCGGGGCUAGAGUGCAGAAGGGGCAACUGGAAUUCUCGGUGUAGCGGUGAAAUGCGUAGAUAUCAGGAGGAACACCUAUGGCGAAGGCAGCUCUCUGGUACGUGACUGACGCUGAGACGCGAAAGCGUGGGGAGCGAACAGG
rnacentral:rRNA from 1 species